UACAGAGGGGGCAAGCGUUGUCCGGAUUUAUUGGGCGUAAAGCGCGUGUAGGCGGCCAGAUAGGUCUGCUGUGAAAACUCGAGGCUCAACCUCGAGCUGUCGGCGGAAACCAUCUGGCUAGAGUCCGGAAGAGGAGAGUGGAAUUCCUGGUGUAGCGGUGAAAUGCGCAGAUAUCAGGAGGAACACCUGUGGCGAAAGCGGCUCACUGGACCACAACUGACGCUGAUGCGCGAAAGCUAGGGGAGCAAACAGG
rnacentral:rRNA from 1 species